GAUGAACGCUGGCGGCGUGCCUAAUACAUGCAAGUCGAGCGAACAGACGAGGAGCUUGCUCCUCUGACGUUAGAGGCGGACGGGUGAGUAACACGUGGAUAACCUACCUAUAAGACUGGGAUAACUUCGGGAAACCGGAGCUAAUACCGGAUAAUAUAUUGAACCGCAUGGUUCAAUAGUGAAAGACGGUUUUGCUGUCACUUAUAGAUGGAUCCGCGCCGCAUUAGCUAGUUGGUAAGGUAACGGCUUACCAAGGCAACGAUGCGUAGCCGACCUGAGAGGGUGAUCAGCCACACUGGAACUGAGACACGGUCCAGACUCCUACGGGAGGCAGCAGUAGGGAAUCUUCCACAAUGGGCGAAAGCCUGACGGAGCAACGCCGCGUGAGUGAUGAAGGUCUUCGGAUCGUAAAACUCUGUUAUUAGGGAAGAACAAAUGUUUAAGUAACUAUGCACGUCUUGACGGUACCUAAUCAGAAAGCCACGGCUAACUACGUG
rnacentral:rRNA from 1 species